rnacentral:rRNA from 1 species
GGCCAAGUUUUUAAGGGCACACGGUGGAUGCCUUGGCACCAGGAACCGAAGAAGGACGUAGGAAUCUGCGAUAAGCCUCGGGGAGUCGAUAACCAGACUGUGAUCCGAGGAUUUCCGAAUGGGGAAACCCGGCUGGAGGCAAGUCCAGUCACCCCUGUCUGAACACAUAGGGCAGGUGGAGGGAACGUGGGGAAGUGAAACAUCUCAGUACCCACAGGAAGAGAAAGCAACCGCGAUUCCGUGAGUAGUGGCGAGCGAAAGCGGAUCAGGCUAAACCGAUCAUGUGUGAUAGCUGUCAGGCGUUGCAUGGUCGGGGUCGUGGGACCUCUUGGUUGGCUCUGACAGGCCAACAUGGAGUCAAAAACGCGCGUUAUAGUCGAAGGGCAUUGAAAGGCCCGGCACAGAGGGUGCUACCCCCGUAGACGAAAUAGCGCGCACUCCAGAGAGUCAUCCCAAGUAGCACGGGGCCCGAGAAAUCCCGUGUGAAUCUGGCGGGACCACCCGCUAAGCCUAAAUAUUCCCUGGUGACCGAUAGCGGACAAGUACCGUGAGGGAAAGGUGAAAAGUACCCCGGGAGGGGAGUGAAAUAGAUCCUGAAACCGUGUGCCUACAAUCCGUCGGAGCCUCCUUGUGGGGUGACGGCGUGCCUUUGAAGAAUGAGCCUGCGAGUUAGUGCUCGGUGGCGAGGUUAACCCGUGUGGGGAAGCCGUAGCGAAAGCGAGUCCGAAUAGGGCGAAUGAGUCGCCGGGUCUAGACCCGAAGCGGAGUGAUCUACCCAUGGCCAGGUUGAAGCGCAGGUAAGACUGCGUGGAGGACCGAACCCACUUAGGUUGAAAACUGAGGGGAUGAGCUGUGGGUAGGGGUGAAAGGCCAAUCAAACUCCGUGAUAGCUGGUUCUCCCCGAAAUGCAUUUAGGUGCAGCGUCACGUGUUUCUUACCGGAGGUAGAGCUACUGGAUAGCCGAUGGGCCUCACCAGGUUACUGACGUUAGCCAAACUCCGAAUGCCGGUAAGUGAGAGCGUGGCAGUGAGACUGCGGGGGAUAAGCUCCGUAGUCGAGAGGGAAACAGCCCAGAUCACCAGCUAAGGUCCCUAAGCGUGUGCUAAGUGGGAAAGGAUGUGGAGUUGCAUUGACAACCAGGAGGUUGGCUUAGAAGCAGCCACCCUUUAAAGAGUGCGUAAUAGCUCACUGGUCAAGUGAUUCCGCGCCGACAAUGUAGCGGGGCUCAAGCACACCACCGAAGCUGUGGCAUUGACACAUAGCCCGGCCGUGAUAUCUGAGGACUCACGGUCCAAGCGUGUUGAUGGGUAGGGGAGCGUCGUGUAGCCAGGGAAGCGGCGGAGUGAUCCAGCCGUGGAGGCUACACGAGUGAGAAUGCAGGCAUGAGUAGCGAAUGACGGGUGAGAAACCCGUCCGCCGAAUAACCAAGGGUUCCAGGGUCAAGCUAAUCUGCCCUGGGUAAGUCGGGACCUAAGGCGAGGCCGACAGGCGUAGUCGAUGGACAUCCGGUUGAUAUUCCGGAACCGGCGAAGAACCGCCCAUACCGAACCACGUAAUGCUAAGCGCCUGAAGGGCUGGUGAGUCUUCGGACAAUCCGGCCUGGAGCGCGCGACCCGAGCGUGUAGUAGGUAAGCGAUGGAGGGACGCAGGAAGGUAGCCGAACCGCGGCGAUGGUAGACCGCGGGUAAGGAUGUAGGGCGAGGUGUAGGCAAAUCCGCACCUCAUAUGCCUGAGAUCUUAUACGGACGCAUUAGCGGAAGUCGGUAAUCCUAUGCUGCCUAGAAAAGCCUCUAGCGAGGUUCGAGCCGCCCGUACCCUAAACCGACUCAGGUGGUCAGGUAGAGAAUACCAAGGCGAUCGAGUGAAUCGUGGUUAAGGAACUCGGCAAAAUACCCCCGUAACUUCGGGAGAAGGGGGGCCCAGAGGGUGACGGAGACUAGCGCUCCUGAGCCUGAACGGCCGCAGAGACCAGGGAGAAGCGACUGUUUACUAAAAACACAGGUCCGUGCCAAGUCGCAAGACGAUGUAUACGGACUGACGCCUGCCCGGUGCUGGAACGUUAAGGGGACCGGUUAGCCUCACGGCGAAGCUGAGAACUUAAGCGCCAGUAAACGGCGGUGGUAACUAUAACCAUCCUAAGGUAGCGAAAUUCCUUGUCGGGUAAGUUCCGACCUGCACGAAUGGCGUAACGACUUCUCCACUGUCUCAACCACGAACUCGGCGAAAUUGCACUACGAGUAAAGAUGCUCGUUACGCGCAGAAGGACGGAAAGACCCCGGGACCUUUACUACAGCUUGGUAUUGGUGUUCGGAACGGCUUGUGUAGGAUAGGUGGGAGGCUUCGAAGCUGAUACGCCAGUAUCGGUGGAGCCAACGUUGAAAUACCACUCUGGUCGUUCUGGAUGUCUAACCUAGGUCCGUAAUCCGGAUCAGGGACAGUGCCUGGUGGGUAGUUUAACUGGGGCGGUUGCCUCCUAAAAGGUAACGGAGGCGCCCAAAGGUUCCCUCAGCCUGGUUGGCAAUCAGGUUUUGAGUGUAAGUGCACAAGGGAGCUUGACUGUGAGACUGACAAGUCGAACAGGGACGAAAGUCGGGACUAGUGAUCCGGCGGUGGCUUGUGGAAGCGCCGUCGCUCAACGGAUAAAAGGUACCCCGGGGAUAACAGGCUGAUCUUGCCCAAGAGUCCAUAUCGACGGCAUGGUUUGGCACCUCGAUGUCGGCUCGUCGCAUCCUGGGGCUGGAGUAGGUCCCAAGGGUUGGGCUGUUCGCCCAUUAAAGCGGUACGCGAGCUGGGUUUAGAACGUCGUGAGACAGUUCGGUCCCUAUCCGCUGCGCGCGCAGGAAACUUGAGAAGAGCUGUCCCUAGUACGAGAGGACCGGGAUGGACGAACCUCUGGUGUGUCAGUUGUUCUGCCAAGAGCACCGCUGAUUAGCUACGUUCGGAAGUGAUAACCGCUGAAAGCAUCUAAGCGGGAAGCAUGCUUCAAGAUGAGGUUUCCAUGGGGUUUACCCCGAGAGGCUCCCAGCUAGACUACUGGGUUGAUAGGCCGGAUGUGGAAGUGCGGUAACGCAUGGAGCUGACCGGUACUAAUAAGCCGAUAACUUGACACA